GUGGGGAAUUUUGGACAAUGGGGGCAACCCUGAUCCAGCCAUGCCGCGUGCGGGAAGAAGGCCUUCGGGUUGUAAACCGCUUUUGUCAGGGAAGAAAUCCUUUGGGUUAAUACCUCGGAGGGAUGACGGUACCUGAAGAAUAAGCACCGGCUAACUACGUGCCAGCAGCCGCGGUAAUACGUAGGGUGCGAGCGUUAAUCGGAAUUACUGGGCGUAAAGCGUGCGCAGGCGGUUUUGUAAGAUCGAUGUGAAAUCCCCGGGCUUAACCUGGGAACUGCGCUUGUGACUGCACGGCUAGAGUAUGGCAGAGGGGGGUGGAAUUCCACGUGUAGCAGUGAAAUGCGUAGAGAUGUGGAGGAACACCGAUGGCGAAGGCAGCCCCCUGGGCCAAUACUGACGCUCAUGCACGAAAGCGUGGGGAGCAAACAGGAUUAGAUACCCUAGUAGUCC
rnacentral:rRNA from 1 species